CGUUACCCGGGCCCGUUGUACACACCGCCCGUCACACCACGGAAGCCGGAGACACCCGAAGCCCGUGGCCCAACCCGCAAGGGAGGGAGCGGUCGAAGGUGGAGUUGGUGACUGGGGUG
rnacentral:rRNA from 1 species